GUUUGCACUCAUCGGGGAAGGGUGAGAACCUUCGACUAAGGUUCGAUUCGAGCGAAAGCGAGAGAACGUUGCCACAGGCAACGGCACGAAGGGUGAGGAGCGAAGCGACGAAUAAUCCUUCCCCCACCACCA
rnacentral:sRNA from 1 species